rnacentral:lncRNA from 1 species
UUUUAUAAGGUAAAGGUCAAAUUUUAUUUGAUUUUUCUAUAUGGCUACCCAAUUAUCUGCUAUUAUAUCCUACCUUCUUCCUACAAUCUCAUCACCUACUUGAGUAUACACAUGGUAGACAAGAGGGGAACUUUUUGAGUUUGAUUUCUCUUUGUCCCACCAGCUAUACUGCCAGGGAAUCACAGCAUAGUCUGUGCCUCUUGGCAUCGCAUAUGAAGCCCUUCCCUAUCUAGCCCUUGCACCAUUUCCAGCCUCAUGUCUGACCAAUAGACUCCCCCAGCUGCAUAAGGCCCCUCAUCAUUCCCAGAUGUGCCACACUCUUUCCUAUUCCGACAAUGAUGUAUAUAUCUUUGCCUUUACUUGUGGCAUUUACACGUCUACUCAUUUUUCAAGAUCCUACUCAAAUAUUACCUCUUCCAAGAAAACUAUACGAAUAUCCCACACUACUAUUUAUUUCUACCCUGUUCAGAAUCCCUCCUAUCCUUCAAGUCCUUUGUUUAGUAGACUGUUGAAGGAAAGGGAAUUGCAUGAAGACAGUUUAGAUACCCCUGUGGUUUCAUCCCUGGCCCUUUGAUGGUUUCAGUUCCCUAACCCCCUGCCCACCAAAGUAUCCUUAAAAACUCUAGCCUCUGAAUUCUUGGAGAGUCAGAUUUGAGAAAUUUCUCCCAUUCUCCUCACUUGGCUAGAGAGCAAUUAUUAAACUCUUUCUUUGCUGCAACAUCUACUGUUUUCAGUGAAUUGGUUUUUUUUCAGGGCAGCAGGCAAUAAGAACCUGUUGGGCUGUGACACUGGGGCCCAGGAAGCUGCAGUUCUAUCACGUCUCACUGUCACUCAAAAAGUCACCAGCCCCAACCCUCAUCAACAAAAGACAUUUUAUAUGGAUUUUCUUAACAUAGCCACAUCUUUAGAGAUUUAGAUAUAAAACUCAUUGGUAUACAUCAUGUCAUCUAAACCUACUUAGGGACCUCAAUUUUAAAAUAUGCAUCCUAAUCAAUUCCUUUAAGAAUACACAUCUUUGUGUAUUUGGUUUUCUUGAAGUAGGGCCUACUUGGCACACUAUUUGGUAAACUAAAAGAUACAUUCUUGAGUAUGUUAGAGUUCAAAACUUAAGGCAGUUUCAAGCAUGGGCAGAUGACUAUUCUUUCAGUUUGAUCACUGUCAGAUUAGUAACAGUUCAUCUGCCUCUCUGGAGAAGUUGGCUGGGAAGACUUUACAGAUGCCUUUCACACAAACUGUGACUGAGAUAAGCUCAGUGCAGAGCUGUUUGUGUAUUCAGGCAAUGAAAGUCAACCACAAAGGAGAAAUGCCAGACAUGACAAGUGAAGCAAUAUGAGCAGAAGAUCCUACAGAGCAAUUGGAGACUUAGACUCACAAGACCAAAGAAUCCUAGGGUAUGAUGGCAUGCAGGGACUUAAACAAUGGUAUAAACCAAUGCAUUAACUUCCCAGAUGGGAAAGCUGAGGCUCAGAAAAGGGAAGUGAGUUUUUCAGUCCUUUGCAACUACUAAGAAGUACAGCCAUGCUUCCUGAUUUCCCAGCCAGUGUUCUUCCAACUGCCUUUGCAAUCAACUGAAAUCAGAGUGGACUCAAUACACAGAGCGGAGGGCCGCCAGCUCCCUCUACAGUGGCCCAGACUCCAAAUGCCCCCAGCACGGCACUUUUUUUUUUUUUUUGCCUCUUCUAUUCAUUGGAGUGUUUUCACAGGGAGUCUGAACUUAGGCACAAGAGACCAAGAGUCCAAAUUGUUUGCUCUUAGCAAAGGCUAAGAACCUGUUAUCAGCAGACAGAAUCCAUAGAAGAAGACUACAUGAUCUGCACCACACAAGCCCAAUGGCUGAGGGUUCUGGCUGCGGCAAAGCCUUGGGUGGUAAAGAAAGGAGAAUUUCCUGAGCUUGUUCUCUGUGCAGAAAACUUCCCCCAGGAUCUGUCUAGCUGAGGCUCACUGUACUUAAGGAAACUGUUGGUCAAGGACUUGGAUGUUCUAGAUUAUGGCUCCUGGACAUUUCUGUCUCCUCCUCUGCCCUCCAUACUCCCCUCCUCACCCCACAGAGAACAGCCAAGCCUAUAACUUUCAUUUUCUGGAAAGAAAUUAGUGACAAGAAUACUGGGAACUUUGCAUCAGGCAAAAUGAAGUUUUACAC